GAGUUCAUAAAGGGAUUAAACACGCAGCAAAGGAUGUACAUCCAGUUGAUAGGACUGGGUGGACUUCUCAAGACACCUAGCAUCAAAAUCGGACGUGUACUAUGCAUGGCCAUCGCUAAUUCAUAUGAUGCAGAGCAGGAUGCCUUUAUCAUCAACGGGAGACCAUGUAGGAUUGCACUAGAAGAUGUAGCGCAUAUAACAGGCAUGCCCUUCCAUGGGAAGAAGCACGUCCCUUCAAAUCUUGAUGAUAAUAUGGAGUUGUGGAAGAAACUGAAAGACCGUAAUGACACCAAAAUAACUUUCAAAGGAUUGCUAGCCAAGAUGAAAGGCGACAGCACACCAAAUUUUGUCAGGCCAUUUGUCUUGUACACCAUAGGCAAAUAUGUAUGCCGAACAAAAGAGGAGUAUGUGGAUAACAAAUAUAUUGGGAUUGUUAGAAACGUUGAGACGAUAAAGGGCACAAAUCUUGGGCAGCUAACGCUUGACUAUCUUAUGGAUAGCGUGAAGAAUUUUGUAAAUGGUGAGGCAAUUCUGGAGGGGAAUCUACCACUGCUGCAGGUA
rnacentral:rRNA from 1 species